GUUGUCGUGGCUGAGUGGUUAAGGCGAUGGAAUUGAAAUCCAUUGGGAUUUUCCGGCGUAGGUUCAAACCCUGCCGACAAUG